UAUAAUAUUAUAUUACAUGUUAUAUAUCUGCAUAGUUUAUACUCAUUAUUCAUUAGUCAUCAGUUAUACGAAUAAAUAAGUCAUUUUGAAGUUUGUUAAUUCUCAAUAAAUUUCUAAUGCAAUUACUUUGUUUUAAUAAAAACAUUCUUUAAGUAACCAUUAACAUUUAACAAACCUACUAAUUGUUAGACAGUACAAAAUUAAAUGAUUUUCAUAUAGGUACAAUUAUAAACAUAUUUUAUUAA